AACGAACGCUGGCGGCAGGCUUAACACAUGCAAGUCGAACGCCCCGCAAGGGGAGUGGCAGACGGGUGAGUAACGCGUGGGAAUCUACCCAGUUCUACGGAACAACACAGGGAAACUUGUGCUAAUACCGUAUACGCCCUACGGGGGAAAGAUUUAUCGGAAUUGGAUGAGCCCGCGUUGGAUUAGCUAGUUGGUGGGGUAAUGGCCUACCAAGGCGACGAUCCAUAGCUGGUCUGAGAGGAUGAUCAGCCACACUGGGACUGAGACACGGCCCAGACUCCUACGGGAGGCAGCAGUGGGGAAUAUUGGACAAUGGGCGCAAGCCUGAUCCAGCCAUGCCGCGUGAGUGAUGAAGGCCUUAGGGUUGUAAAGCUCUUUCAGUGGGGACGGUAAUGACGGUACCCACAGAAGAAGCCCCGGCUAACUUCGUGCCAGCCGCCGCCGUAAUAC
rnacentral:rRNA from 1 species